rnacentral:rRNA from 1 species
ACGUAGGGGGCGAGCGUUAUUCGGAAUUACUGGGUGUAAAGGGUAUGUAGGCGGACCUUAAAGUCGCGUGUCAAAGUCCAGAGCUAAACACUGGGAGUGCACGCGAUACUGACGGUCUUGAGGCGUGGAGAGGUAAGCGGAAUUCCCGGUGUAGUGGUAAAAUUCGUAGAGAUCGGGAGGAAUACCAGGGGCGAAGGCGACUCACUAGACAGUUUCUGACGCUAAGAUACGAAAGCGUGUGGAGCAAACAG